rnacentral:lncRNA from 1 species
AUGGGAACUUUGUUAUUGCUUUCUAUUCCUUACGUAUUGUUUUCGAAGAAUUAUGACUAUGUUUUUAGAAUGAAUUUUUAUGACAUAAUUGUAAAGAGGCAUUAGUGCCAAAGACUGUUUUGAUUAUUGAAUAAUUUCCGCUGCGAAGUAUUAAAGACUUUUUAGUUAUUGAAUUUUAAAGGAUAAAUAGUUAUUUAUUCAGUUUAUGAUUUUAUGAAAAGAAGUGUAGCAUUC